rnacentral:rRNA from 1 species
AUUGAACGCUGGCGGCAGGCUUUACACAUGCAAGUCGAGCGGGGUGAUGGUGCUUGCACUAUCACUUAGCGGCGGACGGGUGAGUAAUGCUUAGGAAUCUGCCUAUUAGUGGGGGACAACAUCUCGAAAGGGAUGCUAAUACCGCAUACUUCAUACGGGAGAAAGCAGGGGAUCACUUGUGACCUUGCGCUAAUAGAUGAGCCUAAGUCGGAUUAGCUAGUUGGUGGGGUAAAGGCCUACCAAGGCGACGAUCUGUAGCGGGUCUGAGAGGAUGAUCCGCCACACUGGGACUGAGACACGGCCCAGACUCCUACGGGUGGCAGCGGUGGGGAAUAUUGGACAAUGGGGGGAACCCUGAUCCAGCCAUGCCGCGUGUGUGAAGAAGGCCUUAUGGUUGUAAAGCACUUUAAGCGAGGAGGAGGCUCUUUUGGUUAAUACCCAAGAUGAGUGGACGUUACUCGCAGAAUAAGCACCGGCUAACUCUGUGCCAGCAGCCGCCGUAA